UACAGCUCGGAAUGCACCGGCGGUUGCCACUUCUGCACCAAUUUGCAAACCUGUGAGAACUAGGGAACCCGCACCGAAACCAACUGCGCCAAGCCGGAGACAGAAACUCCCGUAUUGCUGCGCCUGGAAUUCAGGUGAAGUAAAAGGUAGACAGAGCUUUCAACUGAGAGAUUGCAGAGUUGGGCAGGCAACGGAAGUCAGUUCACCGCUCAUCUGCGUCAGGGGCGGUAACAGGGGGACCGGAAGUGCCCGGAUAUGAGCUUCCGGCGCGAACAAUUUGCAACGUGAAAUUGAAUCAUCGACUCUGAUAAUCGUCGCGUCUGCCGCUGCUCGUCCCGGGAAUCUCUCAAAUGCAAUGGUGACUCGAGUGAAAUUAUUAUACUCCACGACAGUACCUGAAACAAAUCUUCUGCCUGAAAUUCACAACUUAUUACAUUAAACAAUCUCCGCGCGUUUAAUGAAGGAAAAUCAAAAGGAAAGAAAAAAUUGUUGCGAUACCAGACGUUCGCGUUCCUCAGAAACCACCUCUGACUUUUAUCUUUCAAUUUAUUUAUUCACUUUGCCUUCAGAUACAACGAAAUCGUGCGGUUCGUCGUAGGAAAAUAAAAAUAAAAUAUAGAAUAAAAUUUCAAACCUACUUUGCGAGGGGUAGAAGUUUUUCUGAUCAGAUUCGGAUUUGCGGGUAAAAUUGAAAUACAUAGUCAUUUUUGACACCCGGUAUGAGAAAUAUUUACACUACAGUAGGCGCAAUCAUUGCGCGUACCAAUUGGCUCUCACCCUUUGCCUCCAGUUUCCGCGUCAACCCCCGCGCUUACAAAAUACAAACUAAAUUCCGCUAUCAAUUCGGUCACACUCGUUUCAGCAUUCUUCUAUCUCUUAUAUAUUUUUUCGCACAUCCUCUCUGUCUAUCAAAAUCUAUACGUGGUAAAAUUAAACGUUAUAUUGAUGAAAUCGUGCGCCGGUGUAUAUAUAAAUGUAUAGUUUUCCAUUUCGGGGCUUCUGGCAAAGUGCACGGUGCAAGUGAUAUUGAAAAGAUCGAUGUUGAGAAUAUUUGUUUUUCCCUUUUUCAACCUAUAGAGACUUUGCCGUUUUAAUUUUUUCAAUCAAGACGUAACAUUGCGCGUUGUUCAUUACUACCCCUUAUGUACAUGUAUUAUGAACGGAAAACAGACGUAUAUAGAACUUUCAGAUGAACCAAAUUCUAUCUCUGCGAGUUUUGUAUAGUUUGAUGGAAAUACACCUAGACAAUGGAGUAUAGGGUGGUCCGGAUAGAUAGCUAUACAUAUUAUCUAUUCACUAAAUUGUCUGGCUAGUUUUCAAUCAUGUGAACAUGCGUCUGACCAACCGCGACAAAAAUUUUUUUUCCAACGAAACAAUGUAAUGGACACUCGAACUAUAAACUCUAUACGUUUUAAAUAUCCCUCGACAAUUUUACAUACCGAUAUAACUGCUGUAUACAUACACCCGGUGUACGGGUGUCACGUCGUACACAUUCAUAGAUACUCUUCCUCUGUGGCAAAAUUUAUUCCAAUAUUUUCAAUUAAAAGUUAGACAAAGCCCUGUUUGAUAGCGAGAUGUGUUCAACAACGGUUCAGUCGCCAAGUUAAAAAUAUGACACGUCGUCUCUAGUCAAUAUAUGCACGUAUACAUAAUGGUCAUAUACAAUUUAUACAACCGUUGAUUGAAGCAUUUAUUUCUAUGCACAUACAAGCGCGUAUAUCGACCACCUCCAUACAUGUGGAGCAUAUUAUUCAUAUGAACUAUCGACGAGUCUUCGAUUCCUAAUAUUUCUUUACGAUAAUCUUUUUAUUCUCUUUAUUCUUGUUGAGCGUUGAUCAUCAAAGAUCCGUUCAAACUUUUUUUUCCGAAAAUCAAAAAGCAGCAAAAACUAUUCAGCCUCUGCAAAGUCUGGAUUUUGAGCUGAGGAUCAACAUUUCUGUUUCACACUAUUUGAGUGUACCUAUUUUUUACGUAUUUCGAUCAUUGGAACAGAAAUUUGUCGACUCAAAUAUUUUACGACCAACAUCAAUCGAGAUGUCUUAUUUUUUUCUGUUCCGAAAAGCGAAAAAUUAGCAAUAACUCGGCCAUUUUGAGAGAUAUCUCAAUUUUUCCGGUACGAAAAACGAAAUAUCGACAAUAACUCGACAAUUCUGACGGAUAGACUGAACCGAUCGGCAGAUUCAGAUUUCAAAAAAAAAAUCGCGAGCAGCUAUCGAUGGUUCCGAGAAAAACCACCCGGUAUCGACCGAUGCUGUAUGAUAUUCGCGAAGGUAUAGUUUGUUGGCGGGCUAAUAAUUAGAUGCGUAUGUACCGAAGAGCUAACCACAGAUGUCACACGCCUGUCAGAAAUGCUGUCACUCGCCAUUAGGGAGACAAAGAUGGCCAGCCACACGUGUGCAACUCGACGAGUUACCAAAUAAUUCGAGUCGACAGUCCAAUAUUACUAAUAAAUAUGAACGAAGUUCUGAAAAAAAAAUCCACACACACACACACACACUCACAAAUAAAAACGAAAGAUAAGAAGAAAACGUAACGAAGUAAAAACCAAAUAAAAGUUGGACUAAAACUCUGAUUAAACACGAACAAGUGUAACCACAUGGAUACCAUUUAUCCACGGCAAUGCAUAAAACAUUAUUUAUGGUUUAUUGAAUUUGGUUGAUGAAUUUCAUCUUUCCUUUCGUUUUAUUUUUUUUUCAAUCGUAUCAACGUGGCAACCCGCACAAUCUGCAGAGUAUAUUGCGUCUCAGAAAUUUAUUAAUUUGUUGAACCUUGAUUGAUUACGUUAGUGAAAGAGAAAUUUCAAAAAGUUGACGACGUAAAGUUAAUAAAACUGCGAGGAAAACGAGUAGAAAUAAAAAAUUGUAAAAACAAAA